UGCUGUAUAUGUUGUUCUGCUCUGCUAAUCUGGUGUAUCUGUAAUUAUCUACUCUGUUUUAGGUUAGAUUUGUUCAACAAAGAUUGGAUUCUACUCUCAUCUAUUCAUUUUAGGCCCUGAUUCUUGAAAUCAAGUGAUUAUUAAGGUCCCCAUGGAUCAUACCAAUUCAAAGAUAGGAACAGAUGCACCACCAAGCAGUACUCCAAACUGGACAAUUAACAUUUCAGAUGUAAGAACAGUUAAAGUCAGUAAUAUCUCACUAGCUACCUCUGAGAAGGAUAUUAAGGAAUUCUUCUCUUUUUCUGGUGAUAUCCAGUAUGUUGAAAUGCAAAGGUCAACU